rnacentral:rRNA from 1 species
GAUCAUGGCUCAGAUUGAACGCUGGCGGCAGGCCUAACACAUGCAAGUCGAACGGUAACAGGAAGAAGCUUGCUUUCUUUGCUGACGAGUGGCGGACGGGUGAGUAAUGUCUGGGAAACUGCCUGAUGGGAGGGGGAUAACUACUGGAAACGGUAGCUAAUACCGCAUAACGUCGCAAGACCAAAGAGGGGGACCUUCGGGCCGUCUUGUCCAUCGGAUGUGCCCACGAUGGGAUUAGCUAGUAGGUU